rnacentral:rRNA from 1 species
UAAUCGGUACGGGUUGUGGGAGCAAGAGCCCGGAGAUGGAUUCUGAGACACGAAUCCAGGCCCUACGGGGCGCAGCAGGCGCGAAAACUUUACAAUGCGGGAAACCGUGAUAAGGGAACUCCGAGUGCCCGUAAAAUCGGGCUGUCCAUCUGUUUAAAUAACAGGUGAAGAAAGGGCCGGGCAAGACCGGUGCCAGCCGCCGCGGUAAUACCGGCGGCUCGAGUGGUGGCCACUAUUACUGGGCUUAAAGCGUUCGUAGCUGGUCUGUUAAGUCUCUGGGGAAAUCUACUGGCUUAACCAAUAGGCGUCUCAGGGAUACUGGCAGACUAGGGACCGGGAGAGGUGAGAGGUACUCCAGGGGUAGGAGUGAAAUCCUGUAAUCCUUGGGGGACCACCUGUGGCGAAGGCGUCUCACCAGAACGGCUCCGACAGUGAGGGACGAAAGCUGGGGGAGCAAACCGGAUUAGAUACCCGGGUAGUCCCAGCCGUAAACGAUGCGCGUUAGGUGUAUCGGUGACCACGAGUCACCGACGUGCCGAAGAGAAAUCGUGAAGCGUGCCGCCUGGGAAGUACGGUCGCAAGGCUGAAACUUAAAGGAAUUGGCGGGGGAGCAC